rnacentral:rRNA from 1 species
UACGGGGGGGGCAAGCGUUGUUCGGAAUUACUGGGCGUAAAGGGCGCGUAGGCGGUUGGAUAAGUCAGCUGUGAAAACCACGGGCUUAACUCGUGGCCUGCAGUUGAGACUGUCUGGCUUGAGUGUGGGAGAGGAGAGUGGAAUUCCCGGUGUAGCGGUGAAAUGCGCAGAUAUCGGGAGGAACACCUAUGGCGAAGGCAGCUCGCUGGGACGUUACUGACGCUGAGACGCGAAAGCGUGGGGAGCAAACAGG